CGCGUUAACCGUUUGACGCAUGAUAGCGCCGCUAGCUAGCCGCAACACGGGCCGUGAUAAAUGGAAAACACCUGGUAUCUAGAGCCACGGAUGCCUGCAGUCGAACGGGAAACUCACUUGCAAAGUGGGCGGGAUUAAGCACCUCGGCCUGGGAAGAACUACUCAGGGCACCAAAUCCCACAAUCCAAGACAUUAGCAAACAUGGGGUCAUCGAGCUAACGAGGCUAACUGACAACCAAAGAGACGCGUUCGUUGUAUGUGAAGAUUCGAACUCUGGUGGGUCGCACCAACACAGAGACAUUCAUCUCCUCGCCUAUCAAGCGACUUGUGUCCUUCACUGACUGUAGCCUCGUGUCCACAGUAGGGAGACAUGUUGUGACUGAAAGGUGUCCUCCAGUUGCAGCAGCUAUGUUGCCCCUAAGCAGCACUUUGGUCCGGUCUGCUGUUAAGCUGCUGCCACCGCGGAACUGGCGUCCAGGGCGUUUCUGGUGCCUGUACCGAAACGUUUCUGUGAAACUAGGAGGUUUAAAGCCAAGGACUGUUCCACCUCGGUACCUGGGCCAGCCCAGCCCUUUCACCCAUCCACACCUCAUCAAACAUGGUGAGGUGACCCCAGGCUUGAGCCAAACAGAAUACGAGCUCCGCAGACACAGGCUGACCUCGCUGAUCGAGGCCCAGUCCGACAGGCUGCUGGGACCUUCCGGCUCUUCCAGCACCCACGUGGCCAUCGUGUUGUCCCAUCCAACCCGCUACAUGACCAACGACAUCCCUUAUCCUUUCCACCAGAACCAGGAUUUCCUCUACCUCAGCGGCAUCCUCGAGCCCGACAGUGCCCUGGUUCUUUACGGGAAAGGUCGACCAGACCAGGCCAUCUUAUUCGUCCCCCGCAGAGACCCGGGGAGAGAGCUGUGGGACGGGCCCCGGUCAGGGAAGGAUGGGGCGGCGGCUUUGACCGGCAUAGAGAGAGUUCACUGCACAGAGGAACUGGGUGUUGUGCUCAAGAGCCUUAAAGGCACUGUGCUGUGGUACGACGGCUCUCAGCCCGCUCACCCUCAUCUGCAUCAGGCCCACGUGGGCCCCGUGCUGGAGGCGGGGCCGAUGCUGCACUCUCUCAGGCCCCUCACGCACUCUCUCAGGGCCGUCAAGAGCUCAGCUGAGGUGGCGCUCAUGCAAGAAGCAGGUCGCAUCACAGCUCAGGCUUUCCGGAGGACGAUGGGUCUGUCUCAAGGAGACGUGGAUGAGGCUGUGCUCUUUGCUAAGUUUGAUUUUGAGAAUCGGCUCCAUGGCGCCAACUUCCUGGCCUACCCCCCUGUUGUUGCUGGUGGGAAUCGAGCCAACACUCUGCACUACAUAAACAACAACCAGAUUAUCAAGGAUGGGGAAAUGGUGCUGCUUGAUGGUGGUUGUGAAUACUUUGGUUACGUCAGUGAUGUCACUCGUACGUGGCCAGUGAAUGGAAAAUUCAGCCCGGCCCAGGCUGAGGUGUACGAGGCCGUCCUGGAGGUCCAGCGCUCCUGUCUGUCUCUCUGCUCGCCGGGCGUCAGUCUGGAUCACAUCUACAGCACCAUGCUGGCUCUGCUGGGGCGACAGCUCCGGCGGCUCGGCGUUGUGAAGGCCAGCACCAGUGAUGCUGAUGCAGUAAAGGCUGCACGGCGCUUCUGCCCCCACCACGUUGGGCAUUACCUGGGGAUGGAUGUCCACGACACUCCUGAGCUGUCGCGCUCACAGCCUCUACAGCCAGGAAUGGCCAUCACUAUAGAACCAGGGUUGUACAUCUGCGAGGACAAUGACCAGGUGCCGGAGCGUUUCCGUGGCCUGGGCGUCAGGAUUGAGGACGAUGUGGUGAUUGGAGACAAGGGAAGCCCUCUGAUUCUGUCGCGCGACGCGCCAAAGACCAUCGCCGACGUAGAGAAGGCCUGCGCCCGCAGAUAGGGGAGGGGAGACGGACGAGUGAGCUGCCGCCUCGGUGGCUGGCUGAGCGCCGUGUUUUUCCAACCGUUUCAGGGUGAUGACAUCAUCAGGCUCAGGUGAAAGGUGGGAGAACGUUGCAGGACAAGAUGGAAGUUUGUGAUCUAACGAUAUGUUCAAAGAAACCACUUCCGUGUUUGUUGUUUGCGGCAGUGAAUGAUGGUGAAAAGCUUGACAAUAAAAAGUGGAUUUGGUUGUUUGUUGAGGGGUUACGGCGUAGCUUUGGAGCUCACGCGCCUAUUCUACCCGGUAACGGACCACAACAAUGUCUGCCACUACACAUUGGUGUGGAGACUGCUGUGAUGGUGCAGGUGAAGUAUAACGUUGAACCAGAAUCAAGUAUAUUUCCAGCUGAAUGGUUAGAAGCAACACACAUCUUAACCGUAUUUGCUCCACAACAGGUUUUUUAGAAUUGUUUAGAAUUGUGGCCCAACAAGAUAUGGUUACUUGUUUGUGGGUCUUUAAAUUUUUUUUGUUAAGCCAACGUACAAACCCUUCUUUCCAUCUCUAAAGUUGAACAUUCACUCACUGAGCUGCAGGAAGGACCAGAGCAUGUCAAAUGACUACAACAUGUUGAAACACAAAAGUGAUGAAUAAAGAAGUUGGUUCGCUCUUUGACCUCCUCAUCCCUUCCUCGGACCUGGGUCUGACCAACGGAGGAGAUGUCAGCCAAUGUGCAGGCUUGAGAUACAAACAGCUGUCCGAGCUCUUGCUGCUGGAGCACCCGGACAGCAGGGUGGAGGAGGAGAUGUCAGCCAGCUCCACACCAGUCUGGAAGGACUGGGUUUGGGAGGCCAGGAUGCAGCCAUGGAACACAGGCUGCCGUCCUAUCUCUUGUGUGGCCCAAAUUCUAACCGCACGGCAACCUGGGCAUCCAUGGGGGUGAUGGGGGGUGUCUCAGGGCCAGCGACAGCAAGCUGGAUUAAUGCAGCAGGUCGGGCACCAGCAGCAGCAAGGCCAAGUCUCUGACACGCAGCCUGCGUGGCUGCUUUAAUCUGUUAAUGUUGAUAAUAAAGUUCAAGUGAGAUGUUGGAUCGGGCACGUCACAACACGCUUUUCUUCUGUUUGUGUUUGUGAAAUGUGUUAACUUGCCUUGCAAAUAAAUGCUUUGCUACUGGUUAAAACCCAAAUCAUUUCAUGUAAUGAUUUUUACAUGUGAUUUAUAUUAGUUCACACAAACACUCCAUCUGUUCCCGGUCCGGCCCUCUGUCAAACUUCAGAACCCGAUGUGGCCACACCGAGGCAAGAAACUGUCACUAGAUCACUGUGUUCUAAUAACAGAGACAGUAAAAAUGCUUGUUUCUGGUUGGCUGCGAGGUUUUCAUGAAAAUCAUUUAGCGGGACAAGCGUUCCUCGGGACAUUUUAACCACCCAUUUAAUAUCAGUGCACAGACUGCAGGUUCGUAUUUCCCACUUGAUUGUCUGUUAAACGUAUCUUAAGUCAAUCCUUCUUAUGUGUUGGGAGUUGAAUAAAGUGUCUCUGGUGUUUUA